rnacentral:rRNA from 1 species
UACGUAGGGGGCUAGCGUUGUCCGGAAUCAUUGGGCGUAAAGCGCGUGUAGGCGGUCCGGUAAGUCCGCUGUGAAAGUCGAGGGCUCAACCCUCGAAUGCCGGUGGAUACUGUCGGGCUAGAGUACGGAAGAGGCGAGUGGAAUUCCUGGUGUAGCGGUGAAAUGCGCAGAUAUCAGGAGGAACACCAAUAGCGAAGGCAGCUCGCUGGGACGGUACUGACGCUAAGGCGCGAAAGCGUGGGGAGCGAACAGG